ensembl:lncRNA
AGACCGUUCUCAGUAAAGAGAUAGUUGUAUAGGAAAAUCCUAGUAGAUCAACAGUUUCUGAAAUACUCCAGCCCACCAGGUACCAACAACCAUACCAUGUCUUUUUGCCCCCAUUCUGAUGCUUGGCUUGACAUCCUGGAGGUUUUCUUGACUGUGUCUGGAUUAAAAAAAAAUGCUUUGAAUUCCUGCCAGGUGAUUGGUUGAUUAGAUAUUUUCAGUACAACUAGUUUAAUAGGUGUUCCUAAUGAAGUGGCAGAUGGAAAUGGAAAUUUCUGGUUUCUGCCGCCGACAUUAACAGAUUGAGUUUAGCCAAUUUUAUUUUAUUUUAUUUAUUUAUUUAUUUUUUUGCCUGUCCCUUUUGGUUCUUUAGCCGUCAGAAUUGUUGUCUGAAGACCAACAAGGACACCCAAUGGAUUUAUUUUGCCAAAUGGAUCAUCGUGGCAUUGCCGUAUUGGUCCAUUUGAUCGACCUUUGUUUUUAUUAUUUAUUUUAUUUUAUUUUCAGUUGUUAUAGAUGGGACAGACAUGAGUGAGGGAUAGGAAAGGGAGAAAGGAAGAGGAAGGAAAAGAAAAACAGAAGGGGAGAGGGACAGUGAGAAAGGGGGGAAAGAAAGAAGAAGAAGAAAAAAAAAAUCUCCUGGAUCACCUGUUGAGAGAGAAAGAAUAGAAAACUACAAAAAAAAACCCCAAAGCAACAUACUAAACACAACACCAUCGCAUUAAUCUAGCUAAGUGUAAACAGCAGUAAAUACUAAAUAUUCAAUGUUGUUGUGCAGCACGCAGGACAGACAGCGCACAAUGUGCUUUGAAGUAGCAGCCAAGAAAGGUGUAAUUUAAGUCUACGAGCAGUGAACACCCGUGUGCAUACCUGUGUGGAUCAGCGCGCUUGUAUUCAAAUGGUUUCCACAUGUAAUGGUCUGCAAGAGGAUGUAGAGAGCCAUAGCCCCGUCCCCCAGGGCAUGAAGCAGGCAUCCAGAGGCCUCAGAGUGCGAGAGCCCAAGGAGGACCACCGGAGGGGCAUCCGUGUCACCCUCAUGGGAAGGGCUGAGGAUCCCCAGACGAGGCAAAGCCAAUUUUAUUUUCAAAUAAUGAGGCCUGGUUUGAUGCUGACCCUGAGAACGCUGCAGUAAAACUGUGUUCACCUUUUGUUGGUUCAAGUCUUUCAGAGAUGUUUUAAGACAUGUAAAAAUACUACUACUUGGGACAAAAGUUCCAUUAUCU